rnacentral:rRNA from 1 species
UGAGGAAUAUUGGUCAAUGGGCGAGAGCCUGAACCAGCCAAGUAGCGUGCAGGAUGACGGCCCUAUGGGUUGUAAACUGCUUUUAUGUGGGGAUAAAGUGCGUGACGUGUCAUGCAUUGCAGGUACCACAUGAAUAAGGACCGGCUAAUUCCGUGCCAGCAGCCGCGGUAAUACGGAAGGUCCGGGCGUUAUCCGGAUUUAUUGGGUUUAAAGGCAGCGUAGGCUGUCUAUUAAGCGUGUUGUGAAAUAUACCGGCUCAACCGGUGGCUUGCAGCGCGAACUGGUCGACUUGAGUAUGCAGGAAGUAGGCGGAAUUCAUGGUGUAGCGGUGAAAUGCUUAGAUAUCAUGACGAACUCCGAUUGCGCAGGCAGCUUACUGUAGCAUAACUGACGCUGAUGCUCGAAAGUGCGGGUAUCAAACAGG